AGUGGCUUCCAUCGUCAUGUGAUGAUUCGUUUAAUUAUAUCUGCAAGUUCCAGAUAAAUCUUCACCAGACUACACCUUUAAUAAAUAUUAUUAGAUAUGUCUGUCCUGAUAAAUUUAGUGGAAAAGAAGAAAGCGAGAAAUGUUUUUACAUCGGUGGACUUAAAAAUCAACCUAGAUUAACCUGGGAUGACGCUAAAAAGGUUUGCAGUAAAUUAUCUUUUCAAACAGUGGUACAGAUUGCAAGUGUAAAAAACUCUAAUGAACAAGCCUACUUAAGCUUGCUAAUGAAAGGCUCUCGUGUCGAUGCAUGGAUUGGAUUAAAGUCUUAUGAUACUCAGCAAUUCCCUAACACUUGGCAAGAUAAAUCUCCUGUCAAUUAUACCAACUGGUACAAGUAUCUCAUGUACGAAGGAUUUCUUUCCUCCUUAUCUACA